rnacentral:rRNA from 1 species
GCGUGAGUGAUGAAGGCCUUCGGGUCGUAAAACUCUGUCCUCAAGGAAGAUAAUGACGGUACUUGAGGAGGAAGCCCCGGCUAACUACGUGCCAGCAGCCGCGGUAAUACGUAGGGGGCUAGCGUUAUCCGGAUUUACUGGGCGUAAAGGGUGCGUAGGCGGUCUUUCAAGUCAGGAGUGAAAGGCUACGGCUCAACCGUAGUAAGCUCUUGAAACUGGGAGACUUGAGUGCAGGAGAGGAGAGUGGAAUUCCUAGUGUAGCGGUGAAAUGCGUAGAUAUUAGGAGGAACACCAGUUGCGAAGGCGGCUCUCUGGACUGUAACUGACGCUGAGGCACGAAAGCGUGGGGAGCAAACAGGAUUAGAUACCCUGGUAGUCCACGCUGUAAACGAUGAGUAC